rnacentral:rRNA from 1 species
AUGGCGGAGGAACCGUCCACCAAGCGUCAUCAAGACGAGUCGUCGGACAAGAGCAGCAACCUCGUCGACGUUCACGUCCCCGGCGAGAAGCGCGAGUACACCAAAACCCUCAGAGAGGUUGAGCUCCACGGCAAGGAGACGCUGGAGAUCGUCUGCACCAGCGAACCAGACAAGGCCGACGAGGUGAUCUCCAGGCUCUGGAGGAAGCUUGGCGGCAUGCUUCGUAGGAUCGUCGGCGUUGGUGUGCACUACACCAACAAAGAUGAACCUCCCCAGAUGGCAGCAGUCCUGCAGUUGUGCGUCGACGACCACUGCUUGGUGUACCACAUCACAGCGGCCACAAAAUGGCCCAAGCGCCUGAACGAGUUGCUACAGCAUGAGACGUUGUUCACAUUUGCCGGUUUCAGCAUUGAAAGCGACAAAGAGAAGCUGAAGUUGUCCGGUUUGGAGAUCAACCCCAACAAGUUCAUCGACAUUCAGUGCAAGUGGAGAGUUCCAUACACCGGAAAAGAGUACGACUCCUUGACUGAUGUUGCAGCCAGCGUCAUCCACCCAUUCUACAAAGGCAUGAAGAAGAACAUCAACACGUAG